rfam:Nomascus leucogenys chromosome 21, whole genome shotgun sequence.
CAGCAGGAUGGUGGCCAUGGAAGUUGGAAUUCACUAAGGAAUGUGUAACAACUCACCUGCCAA